GUCAUUAUCAUUGAACCAUUUUAACCCAUACUUACGACAUCAUCUCAAUCGUUGGCAGCCUAUAAAAUACGUGACGUCGUCCAGCUGAUUACUGUAUUAAGGGCCAAGGCUGACAUAGGAAAUUCCCUAGUGACUUGAACAAGAGCAGUUUAUGUCCGCAGCAUUGUAGCUGCUCACAGUUACUUUGCGGGCACUGGAAGGUUUGCUUUCCCAGAAGGCCUCUUUCUUCACUCACAGCCUGCGUGCACACAGCUUUUCUUCUGCAUGCCAGGAGCCUUAACUCUUCCCGAAAAGAUAUGAGUUGACUAUCGACCUUACUUCACCUUAAUUACACCUUCAGAGUCACACUGGGAAUUCAGAUUUCAACUUACAAAUUUGGAGGGUGACACAAUCCAAUCUUAACAAUUACAUCAUCAUGUAUAUGUACUGCUAAUACCAAUCAGAUAAUAAAAUAGCCAGUGGUAGUUAAUAGGUCAUCUUCUAUACUCACGGUGUGCCAGGAUCUCAUUGAUGUGUUUUAAAUUAAAAUUAUUUAUUAGUCUCAUUAGAGCUGACAACAGUCCUAUUACAUAGGUGCAAUUUUCACAUUUUACAGAAGAGCGAACUGAAGCACCGAGAUGUUAAAGUGGUCCACGUAGGGUAGCAAGUGAAAUACAGGUGGCCCAUUUAAAUACUAAACUCAGAAAACAAAUAAUCCAUUUGUAUAAUCUGUAUCUUUUAAGUGUUGCAAAGGACACACCUACACUAAACGUUGUUUAUCUAAAAUGAAAAUGAAACUGAGAAUCAAGGUCAUCACUUGCUAAAUCUUACGCCCAGAAAGCAAGGUACAUUUCUUCUUGUACAGCAAGAGUGGAUCAUAAAUUGUUCAAGAGAACUUGCUGUUUUCAAGGGAUGCAGAGGAACUGUUGAGAGAGCAAAAGAAAAGACUUGUUCUCUUCCAAGUGGAGCAGCCCCUUUAUAAUCUCCACACUGAGAUGGCCAAGCAACACGCUCUUGAGAUCUCAUUGUGAGAGAAGGAAAAGGCUGAAGACGAGUGCCAGCCAGAGGGGUAUCCUUUGAAGGAUAUUUUGAACAAUUCUGAAGAAGCAGCAGAACACAUUUUCUGGAGAAACUGGAGCUAUGAUUGUGGUCUCCUCUGCUCUCCCCUGAGAUCUUAGAAGAUUCACAGCCAUCAGAGAAAUGUCCAGAAACUCAAUGCUGCUCACACUCCAGUCAUCUGAAGUAUAUCCGCCGAGUCUCAAAAAUAUUAUAGCAAGUAAAAGAAACCAGACGCAUCCAUGAAGUUCACAGACAGGUAGAGCUAAUCUCUGAUACAAAUCAGCACAGCGGGCUUCUCUGAGGGCUGGAGUGGACAGUUAAGUGGUUGCUAAGUGGGCACGGGAGCCUGACUGGAGGAAAGGAAUGCUAAGACUCCAACACAGGCCAGCUGUCUGCUGAAGCUAUUCACAUGAUGCCGCCAUGGAACAUCAAUUCAGGUUCUUCUGGAUCCCGUGGUUAAAAAGAGAAUGGCUGUGAUGAAGGAAAUGGAGAAAGAAGAAAUUAAAGGUCAGGUUAGCCCAGGCUAGACUGCCGAGUAACACCCAUAUCAUGUUUCCUGUCUGAAACAUGAUCCAUGAAAAGAGGAUCUAGAUUGUGACAAGUCCAAGUGAAGCACAGAGUGUUCCAAGAGGCUGACAGUAAGCCAGGCGGCAACAUGUCUGAAGGCUGAAUUCUAAUGCAGACAGGGUCAGCCUGCCUGAGCAAAAGGAGCUCUGAGUUGAGGAGAAGCCAAGGAGGCAGGUGGACUGGAAGAACGAACCCCUCUGACCCAUCAGCCGCCUCAACUUAACUCUUCCUUUCACUUUAAAAUUCACAAUGAGCCACCAAAUGCUGGCGCAACCUCUGUAGAAAGCACUUGUCAUGGUGAAACCUGGGGACACUUACUAAGAAACAUGGACUUUUCUUGGCCACACCAAGCCAACUGGUUAAUUGGGUAGAUUCCUGCUGACUGUGUGUGUAGGCUACUGAGGCUCCUCUCAUCACUGUUCCAACCGAGGGAGCAGGAAACCCUUUCAGACACACUGUUCUCUUCAGGAAAUAAGGGACAAAGGUGCUUCCCUGAGGACACUUGGAAAGUGAUAUUUCCUCAUGCCAGAGGACAUGGUGAGGUGAUUUUUUUUUCCAAAACACUGGGUUAAAGUAAUCUGGUGAACUCUUCAUUCUUUUGUACCUCUCUGUCUCUAUCUCUCUGUCUCUCUAACUCUCAGUCUCUGUCUCUAUCUCUUUGCCUGUGUCCCCCCAACCCCACCCCAUCCCCCAGCUCUGUUUCUCAGACAAGGUAUCAUGGAUCCCAGACUGGAGUCAAAUUCACUAUGUAGCCAAGAAUGUCCUUCAAACUUCAUCCUGUCUCUACUUCUGGGCCUGUGUUUGCUAUCCUGGUCAGUUCAUAUGGUACUGGGGUGGAACUAGAACUUUGUGCAUGCUGGGCAUCUUUAUCUCUUGGCCAGUCUCUUAGCCUAGGCUGUCCCUCUUGGUCAGUGCCUCCUUUCUUGCUCCCCCUCUUUCCUCACAUGGACCAGCUCAGUCAGGUCCUGGUCACUUUGGUCACUCCCAGAUGCCUCUGACUAUACUCUUCCUAGUAUCUAUAUUAAACUUCCUCCACAAUACAUCCUUAGGGGUUGCCAUGUCUUCCUUCUGACUUCUUUUCUUUCCUUCAUUCAGGAACAACUUGACAGUUCAAUCAUACCAAUAAUUUGCUCUCAGAAAAAGAACUUUAGGACCUCUGAAUGUCUUCACACAAAUCAAAAACUUCCCAAGAAUUUUGUCAUCUCUUGUUAGUAGUCAGCACCGCAGAGGAUGUGGAAUGGACAGUACUGUUUUUAAGGCUGUCUCUCAUACAUGUUAGACAUGGUGGUCAGACAUACAACGAGUGCCUCUCUAGAUGGUAAAAUAAAAUUGUUGCAUGGAAA